rnacentral:rRNA from 1 species
GAUGAACGCUAGCGGCAGGCUUCACACAUGCAAGUCGAGGGGUAUAGUUCUUCGGAGCUAGAGACCGGCGCACGGGUGCGUAACGCGUAUGCAAUCUACCUUUUGCAGAGGGAUAGCCCAGAGAAAUUUGGAUUAAUACCUCAUGGUAUGUGAGAAUGGCAUCAUUUUCACAUUAAAGUCACAACGGCAAAAGAUGAGCAUGCGUCCCAUUAGCUAGUUGGUAAGGUAACGGCUUACCAAGGCAACGAUGGGUAAGGGUCCUGAGAGGGAGAGACGCCACACAGGUACUAAGACAAGAACCAGACUACUACGGAAGGCAGCAGUGAUGAAUAUUGGAAAAUGGGCGAAAGCCUGACCCAGCCAUGCCGCGUGCAGGAUGACGGUCCUAUGGAUUGUAGACUGCUUUUGUACAAGAAGAAACACUGGUUCGUGAACCAGCUUGACGGUACUGUAAGAAGAAGGAGCGGCUAACUCCGUGCCAGCAGCCGCAGGAACAC